rnacentral:rRNA from 1 species
UACGUGAAACCGCUCGGAGGCAAACGGGUGGGCACUCGAAGGUCGAACGGUGGGAUUCAACCGGUCGUCGUCUUAAUAAUCUUCGACGGUCGCGGGCUAACCGAACGUGAACGGAUCCAUUUAACCGGACCGGGCCCGCGACGACGGUCGGAGGACGGCCGGCGCACUUCCCGCCUAGUAGGACGCCGCGACCGGUCGGGACGUUUGAUCAAACAAACUUAACGGCGGCCAUAAGGCAAGAGGGGGUCUUUUGAGAUUUGAUUCGUCAUUUUUUAUUAGAUCUCCUCGCAGGGUGGGCAGGUAUCUGGCAGGUCGGCUGACGCUUCGUGCCGAAGCUCCUGCCCGAGUUAUAGCCCGCCCGUCGCCCGGCUCCGCCGCCCGACCGAGGAACAAAGUGCAAGACCCUCGCCGGUGUUUCGGUUCUUUUUUUGUUUAAGGAUCGAUGUUAAUGCCCGUCAGCGACAGGCGGUUUGUACGUCCUUUUAAUCGGGGACGUAUACUUAACCCGCGUUCGCCGGACGCACCUAGAGGCGGCCGGUCGAGCGUUACGGGCCGCUGUUGGUCGCGGGGGAUUUCGCACCGCGCGCGACCGGAGGUCUGCGGCGAGUAGGUCGGUCGCCCACCCGACCCGUCUUGAAACACGGACCAAGGAGUCUAACAUGUGCGCGAGUCAAUGGGGAUCUCUCGAGACCCACGGGCGCAAUGAAAGUGAAGGUGGAGGCUCGUCCCCCACCGAGGCGGGAUCCGUAUGAUUACCAGUUUGAACAAAAACAUAAAAAAACUGGCGGCGCACCGCCGGCCCGUCGCAAACGCAACGCCGUUGCGGCGGAGCAAGAGCGUACACGUUGGGACCCGAAAGAUGGUGAUCUAUGCCCGGGCAGGACGAAGCCAGAGGAAACUCUGGUGGAGGUCCGUAGCGAUUCUGACGUGCAAAUCGAUCGUCGGAC